CGCUUUCAUGGGGCUCUUUUGCUUCUCAGAAGCCAAGAUAAAUGCCAUCUUGACCCUCUACCCACAGCUACCCCAUUUUCUUAAGGAAAGAUUUGGCUUCUUCCAGCUCAGUGGCUCUGUUCAGAAGAUUCUGCUGUGUUUGGGAGAUGUUCCUACCCUCCAAGGACCUGCCCUGGUUGCUUAGUCUAUAAUCUGAACUGACAACAGACUUUCUGUUUUAAAAUAAAGCCCUAUCAUUCCCAUCCUCUCCGCACAGCUUCUUCCCUCUUCUCUCCCUCCCUCGGCGUCACCGUCCCCCCUUCCCCGGCUGAGAGUGAGUCUUAUUAAGUGGUGCUGUGUCAUAACUGUGGAGUUGUGUCGGCUGGAAGUGGAACAUGAUGAAGUGUGUAAAGGAGCCCCAGCCUCGCCUGCCACGACGCUUCACAGCCACAGCAACUUUUCUUUUUCCUCCUCCUUCCUGGCUAACAGGAGAGAGGGGAAAAAGAGGUUCCAGCUCCCUCAUAUAACGGCUCUACAGUCAUGCACCCCGGUCCUUGGCAGCACUGUAAAUUCCUUCUCUCUGAAUUGUUGGUUCGGGACAAUCAUUCAGCAGGGAAUUACUUUCUCAUCUAUGAAAUAAAUGAGAUGUUAAACUAG